UGGGGAAUAUUGCACAAUGGGCGAAAGCCUGAUGCAGCAACGCCACGUGAGUGAUGAAGGCCUUCGGGUUGUAAAGCUCUGUCUUUUGGGACGAUAAUGACGGUACCAAAGGAGGAAGCCACGGCUAACUACGUGCCAGCAGCCGCGGUAAUACGUAGGUGGCAAGCGUUGUCCGGAUUUACUGGGCGUAAAGGAUGCGUAGGCGGAUUUUUAAGUGAGAUGUGAAAUACCCGGGCUUAACUUGGGUGCUGCAUUUCAAACUGGGAAUCUAGAGUGCGGGAGAGGAGAAUGGAAUUCCUAGUGUAGCGGUGAAAUGCGUAGAGAUUAGGAAGAACACCAGUGGCGAAGGCGAUUCUCUGGACCGUAACUGACGCUGAGGCAUGAAAGCGUGGGUAGCAAACAGGAUUAGAUACCCUGGUAGUCCACGCCGUAAACGAUGAGUACUAGGUGUAGGAGGUAUCGACCCCUUCUGUGCCGCAGUUAACACAAUAAGUACUCCGCCUGGGAAGUACGAUCGCAAGAUU
rnacentral:rRNA from 1 species